GACUCUCGGCAACGGAUAUCUCGGCUCUCGCAUCGAUGAAGAACGUAGCAAAAUGCGAUACUUGGUGUGAAUUGCAGAAUCCCGUGAACCAUCGAAUCUUUGAACGCAAGUUGCGCCCGAAAGCCAUCCGGCCGAGGGCACGCCUGCCUGGGCGUCACGCAUCG
rnacentral:rRNA from 1 species